rnacentral:sRNA from 1 species
AAAUGCCCGAACUCGACAGUAGGCCUGU